rnacentral:rRNA from 1 species
AUUGAACGCUGGCGGCAUGCCUUACACAUGCAAGUCGAACGGCAGCACGGAGCUUGCUCUGGUGGCGAGUGGCGAACGGGUGAGUAAUAUAUCGGAACGUACCCAAGAGUGGGGGAUGACGUAGCGAAAGUUACGCUAAUACCGCAUACGAUCUCAGGAUGAAAGCAGGGGACCUUCGGGCCUUGUGCUCCUGGAGCGGCCGAUAUCUGAUUAGCUAGUUGGUGGGGUAAAGGCCACCAAGGCAACGAUCAGUAGCUGGUCUGAGGGGACGACCAGCCACACUGGAACUGAGACACGGUCCAGACUCCUACGGGAGGCAGCAGUGGGGAAUUUUGGACAAUGGGGGCAACCCUGAUCCAGCAAUGCCGCGUGAGUGAAGAAGGCCUUCGGGUUGUAAAGCUCUUUUGUCAGGGAAGAAAAGGGAUUGGCUAAUAUCUAGUCCUCAUGACGGUACCUGAAGAAUAAGCACCGGCUAACUACGUGCCAGCAGCCGCAGUAA